rnacentral:tRNA from 1 species
GGAGAGAUGUCCGAGUGGUUUAAGGAGCCGGUCUUGAAAACCGGUGACCCGAAUGGGCCGUGGGUUCGAAUCCCACUCUCUCCGCCA